AAUGAACAUGUUUUUUCAUUUGCACAGAUUAUUAAAGACCAAAAGAAAACUUUCUUGGAGACAACAACUGGCCGUGGGGUGAAGAGGUUUUGGAAAGAAAACCCUGAAGUUUUGCAGAUUAUAAAGGACAACAAAGAAAACUUCAACAGAACAACCAGCCAGAUUGGGUUGAAAAGAGUGAGGGAUGAGUUAAAGAUUUUGAAGGACACGAAGGAAAAUUACCUAAAAACCACCAGCCAGAAUGGGCUUAAACGAGUGCGCGACGAGCUGAAGCUAAAGUAGUUGAUUCC